ensembl:lncRNA
CCUAAAAUCAGUUUAAAUGGCACCUUAAAACAACACAAAAGAUAAUUACCAUCAAAAUAACCAAUACCAUCCAAACAGUACUGAGACCAUCCAGAGUCUGAAACCAUCUCUGAGUUUUCUGUUUCAGCCCAAUUAUUCGAAUUCACCAAGAGUAAGAGAGCACAUUUAGCCAUUUUAGAACUAACUUUACGAGCGAUCGAGUUAUUGUUUGAACUCUGCAUGAAGGGUCCUUUUGUAGAAGGUGCCAUCAGUGCUACGGGGUAACGACCUUCACAUCCAGGGGUUCGUGCUGUGGGAAACACCUGGAAUUAGGCCCCAGUGUCUCCUGCCGCCACCGGACUGUUGAUUCGUCUCGAUGAGUUUGUAACAUAUUUGGUUCCGUCCACGUGGUGUCAUGAUUACUGUUUGUUUCUCUCUUGGUUGUUUGUAUGGUUUAAAGACAGUGCAGACUGCCCGAUGUGACCCGUUCACUUCUCAAUGGGAAGCUUUUAGUAACGGCCGUCUGCAGCUGCGCGUAAACAUCACGAUUCUUUGGAAUUGAGUGCGUUCGGUGGGCUCAUUGUGCUCCGUGUGAGCGCCUCCAUUCACCACUGAAUGCUAUUCAAAAUAUUUGUCAUGCAACUUUCUUAGCGUUUCUUUUGUACAAAUAAAUACUUUGCAAUCUGCUGGUCUCUGCUCAUUUGGCCUUGAAAUACAGACGUUUUCCUUCUGUGGUCGUCAUAGUUGGGCGGAAGGGCCCCAACAAAAUGUAAUGUAACUUGUUUAAAGGGAAUAUAUGUAAUAAUAUAUGAAUAUGUUACUACCGAAAAGAUGACAAAAACUCUGACUGAGCAGCGGUAAGAAGCUUGAAACGAUAAUAUGAACAAAGCAGUCUAUCGAAGGGAUCAACACAAAGAAAAGAGAUCGAUUGUAUUCUCAUUAGGGAUCAGGAUUCAUUGUAAUGACGUGUUAUUUUCUGAGCGUCAUCCGGCGCCACCAGGUCACAAUGUCAAUGUGUCCAAUACUCACGUAAGCAGAAGGGGAACUCCUCUCAUAAAACAUUGACUCUCGACAUUAAAGACAAAAAGAAGCAAGAAGUAUUCAAAGACAACUCGUCACUUUCUCCCGUACAAUUUUAUUCACAGAAAGCAAAAAAAAUAAAAAUAAAGACACAGGUUUAAAAUGAUGUUAAGACCAAGCCUCAAAAUCAGUGACACAUGAGAUCAGUCAUUAUGUGUCAAAUAUUUAUUCCUUUAAAACGUUUAUUACUGAUUAAAUUCAUGAAGGGAAAAAUGAAUCGUACGUCUCUUUUUCUCCAGUGUACAGCAAAACCACAGCGGACGAGUGUGUGUUUUUCAACCAUAGCACACGGGGCAUGUUGGACACAUGCAGUUUGGUGCGCUAAUUAUGUGUGUAUGUUCUAUAUCGAAUAUAAACACACAAAUAUAUUUAUAUGUACAUACACGUAAUGAAUAGAAAUGUGUGAUUUGAUACCAUUCCUAAGCCCUGGAGGUCACAGUGACAGGAUCCCACACCGGCUGCCAGGGUCUGCCCAGAGGACGGAAACUAAGAGCAUCCGAACAGGAGCUCGGCUGUCCGUCAACUCUCCCAAUUCAAGAAGGGGAAAAAAAAAAAAAAAAAAAAAGUCAGUAACCGCCGUUUUCGGCCUCCGACAGACCCUGGCGACGCACGGCGAGCGAGCUCCGGCGCCGCAGUCCGUUCUCACAUCAACGGUCCCACCGACUGCGGUGCUCUCACCGCGGAGGCCUACAACACUGUCAGGUAACACAUCGAUCGAACAGGCGGCAGUGGGGUGGGAGGGGGUUUAAAAGCAAAAGAGACAAAGAAACAAAACAUGACAUCAGACGGUAACGUCGAUCAACUGUUAAGAAUGUUCUGCAAGUCGAGAAGAAGACAGUAAAUCCUCGACAGUGUAAAAUGCAUGUCGGACGUAACCUUUUUACAGACCCCUUCAAAGUGUUACAUGCUCAAACACCACAGGCUGCUCUGGGCGGGCGGUUGGCGUGACGACGGCGAGGAAACACGGUUUCCGGAGCAAGAGCCAUUUGCCCCUUCGAUAAACCGAACGCAGCGGGCGGGACAGUCCCGUGGAGGAG